UCUCACCUUCUGCUGGCCCUGCAUCGAUUGGACACAACAAUCAAAGCCAGAUAUUAAGGUCAGCCUUCCAUACACAGAACACAGCAGAGAAGGGCGGAGAAUGGAUCUGGGGUCGGGGAGUACAGUGUCCAGCACAUAGUAGGUGCUCAAUAAAUGCUUGCUAAAGUGCGUUGAGCUGACUUGGGAAUGGCUUACACAAAGACAAAAGGCAUGUUCUACCAUGGCACUUAGCUGCAAGAUGGGGAGCUGCAUAUGUACAUCCUGAGCUGCUUCGCCACUGCUGUGAAAGCAGAGAAGGGUUGAGUCCCUGGAAAAGGAAUUUGGGUAAGUGCAUCGGAGGAUGGGAGGAAGCAGAGAGGUGCCCGUCAGUGUUCCAGGCUGUGGACUUCGAUGGGCAGCCAAGAUGAGACUUUUCAGGGGCAAUGAGACAUUUGUUCAGGAAACAAACUUGGGGCAGAACCUCAAUGUUAAAAGCUCUGUUAGAAAUCAUCUGAUAGGAUUCCCAACAUAUGACAUCACACUGUGGGGUUGAGGUGGGAGGGCAGGAUGGAUGACUGUAAAGCAUCAACAUAAAGCUGGUGAUCCAGUAUAACAUGCUAAUACCUCAGGGGAAAGAUAAAUUGCAAGACAGGGUGAAAAAAUUCAGGGAAGGGCUCUGAUUGGCCUGGCUGAGUCCAAUGCCUAUCCCUUCUACCUAUCACAGGCCAGAGGGUCUCUUGCUUCUUCCUGUACCAGUUACUAGAAGAGGUGGGGAAAAGGUUGCUGGGAAGACAGAAACUAUGUGUUUUGAUAUUUCUAACCGUUCGUCAGUCUGGAGCCAGUAUCUGAAUCUUGUUUUUCACAGAUGGCAUUGCAAAGACAGCAUACCAGAGGGAUAGUUGAGGGUUCUCAGGGGCCAUAAAAUGCUACAGGCAAGAAAGAUGUGGGCUUUCUUAAACAAUUGGCUGAAAAAACAGAGGGAACACAGGGAAUGCACAGAAUGCAUUCUGGGCUUUCUAGCUAUUAUGCCUUAAGGCAGUGGUUCUCAAAGCGUGUUCUGGGGAGCCCUGGGAGAUUCUGAGAUUUCUUUCAGAGGGUCCUCAAGAUCAAAACUAUUUUCAUAGUAAUAUAAGACAUUAUUUGCUUAUGUUACUGUCAUUGACUCACCGGUGUACGGUGGAGGAGAAUGAAAUAUUCCAGGGGAUGCCUGGCAUGUGACGAUGCUACAGACUGAAUGCGGAAGCAGGCACGAGAACCCACGUCUUCCGUGAAGCCAGCCAUUAAAGAAGUCUGCAAGAAUGGAAAACAGUGCCACUCUUCUCACUAUUUUUUUUGGAAAAUAGUUAUUUUAUGUAAAAAUAGAUAUUUACGUUAACAUGCAAUGAGUUUAUUAGUUACUUUAAAGAUGAAUUAGUGUGUACACUUGUAGAGAUUUCUCAGUUUUAAUUUCUGAUAUGGCAAGUAUUGAUAGAUGUUACCGACAUAAACAAGAGCUCUUUGGGGUCCUCACUCAUUUUUAAGACUGUGAAAGCAUCCCGGGAUUAAACAUUUGAGAAUCACUCACUGCCUUAGGGUAAUGUUAAGUCCCUGGCAAUGAACGGGGGAAGGGAAUUAACCUUUUUUCUGCUUGCAUCUUCGUUUGCAGUAGUCUGUUUUAAUACUGAAGUUAUAUUGAAUGAAUUAUAGUACUUGUCAUCCUGUGGAGAUAGCCCCAUGGAGACAGGAGAAUGUGCAGCAAAUAGUGGGAAGAUCAUGCAUGAAAUUUAGUCAGACAGUCCUGUCUUUAACUUAAAGUUCCUCUGGGCAAGUGAUUGUGAUCAAAUUACUUACUAUUUCUGAACUGCAAUUUCUCAUUGGUAAAAUGUAGAUGGUAACAGCUACCCAACUCACUGAAAUUUUGUGAAGAUUAAAUGAGGUGUUUGUGAAACCAUCAAACCCGUUGCCAGGUGAUGUCUUUUUCAUUUUAUCAAUUUAAGCAGCAAGGCAAUGUACUUCUAUAGAAAGGUGAGUCCUUACAGAUGGAGCAAUGGUGAGUACACACCUGGACAAGGGAGGGAAAGGGGUUCUUAUCCCUGAGGCGCUGUGGCCCCUGCUGCUGUGUUGUUCCCCUAUUGGCUAGGAUUAGACCGCACAGGCUAAACUAAUUCUGAUUGGCUAAUUUAAACAGCGAGAUUGGGGCGAGUGGUUUGGCGGGAAAAAAUGGUUAUGCAGUGAGGAGGAUGAGUCAGGGCAGAGCAGGUGGCAGGUAAUUGGAAUGUCAGGGUGGAGCAGGUAAUCGGAAUGAGUCAGGGUGGAGCAGGUGAUUGAAAUGAGGGUGGAGCAGGUAAUAGAAAAAGGUUGCUUUAUGAUGAAGUUUAAAAGUAGAAGGCAAAGAAUUGAAUAUACUGACAUAUUGAUUCUUUGAAAAGAAAUUUAGAACUCAUAUCUAACGGCAUAACUUGGCAGGCUAGUUAAUGAAGUUAAGAAGAUCAAAUCUGCAAGAAUUCUGAGAAUCAGCUUGUGCAGCUGAAACUGCCUUUGCAAAAUAAUGACCGAGACAGUGAAAGAGAUCUAACUUAACUGACUUCAUCUUGCUUCUAACCUUUAAGCUGCGCUGUUCCUUCUUGGGUGUAAGCUGAACUAACUUAGGGAGGAACUUAGUUUCAGUUUAAAACAAAGACGAUGGCAGCCCUUUCCCAAAACAAACUUCCUUCUUGCCUGGGCACUAGACUGCCUUUGUAGGACUAAUAAAUUAGCCACAAGAUUAUAAAUUAUGGUUUAGGAAUCAUGUGGCUGGAGGCUACAAGAUUCUGAGCCUCCCUAAACUGUUCCUAAGAUCACUGCUUGAGAUAUUUUGCAGACUCUGCACUUGAUGGAUCAGCUGACACCACCCAGAUUGAUAAACUGGCUCAUCUGAUCUUGUGGCCGCCACCCAGGAACUGACUCAGCAAAAGAGGACAGCUUCAGCUUCCUAUAAUUUCAUCUCCUACCUAACCAAUCAGCACUCCUGGCUCACUGGCUUUCCCUCACCCACCAAGUUGUCCUUAAAAUCUCUGAUCCUUUGAGUAAUAAUAAAACUCUGGUCUCCCACACAGCAGUCUCUGCAGUGAAUUACUCUUUCUCUAUUGCAGUUCCCCUGUCUUGAUAUAUCAGCUGUGUCUAGGCAGCGGUAUCAGCUGUGUCUAGGCAGUGGGCAAGGUGAACCCAUUGGGCGGUUACGCAGCUGCUGGAUGAGCAAAUAAAUGCACGGAAAAAGAAGAAAAACCGAGAGUCAAACUUACAGACUCUGUGAUGUGUCCUGGAUGCAAAGACCACCUCCUGGAGUUUUUGCUACCUUUGCUUUUCAGCUGCAAGUAUUUUGGGAAGUCGAAGCUUGGAGAGAUUCUGUGAAUUGGUGAAGGACACAUAGCAAAGCCAGGAUUCAGAUUCAGAUCUGCUUGACUCCAAGGUCAUUCCAGAAAUCUCCCUUUUCCUUUGUACCCUGUGACAUGACAGCUGGGUCCUUUCUGCUCAGAUUUCCAUGCCUGACAACCAUUUAAAUGGAAUACAAGAAUGCAGUUUUCUUAGGUUGAAAGAAAUUCACCCUCUAUCAAGAAUUAUUUAUAGUUCCUCUGGAGUGAGAGAGGAAGACGUUACCCACGCAGUGCUCUGUGGAAUCAUCUGAGCCACCACUUCUGCCUUGGGGACACGUCCAUCUGGGGAAGUAUUUGGAUCCUUUGGCUGAACAAUGUGUUUUGGGGUCUUUAAUAUGUCACCUUAAGGAUGAGGCCUAGAGAACAUGGCCUUUUGUUGAACAGUUUGUAAGCUCUCAAAUGUGAGUAAAUGUGAGGAGGGUCUUGAGAGAUAUAGAAAGCUCAAGAAACCUAGCUGGAGUCUCUAGAGUGUUGAGAAAAGUGGUGAGGAGAAAUUCCCAUUGCGGGGGAUGGGAGUGGUGGUUCAGGAGGAUUUUUGAGAAUGGGGAUAGAGAGCCUAGAAAUAAGGCCACACACCCAUGGCCAUCUGAUCGUCAACAAAGCAAGCAAUGAGUAAUGGACUCCUUGUUCAAUAAAUGGUGCUGGGUUGACUGAUUAGCCAUAUGCAGAAGAUUGAAACUGGACUCCUUCCUCACACCAUAUACAGAAAUCAACUCAAGAUGGAUUAAAGACUUAAAUGUAAAACCCAGAACUAUAAAAACUCUGGAAGACAACCUAGGCAAUACCACCCUGGAUAUAGGAACGGGCAAAGAUUUCAUGAUGAAGACACUAAAAGCAAUUGCAGCAAAAGCAAAAAUUGACAAAUGUGAUCUGAUUAAACCUAAGAGCUUCUGAACAGCAAAAGAAAUUAUCAACAGAGUAAACAACCUACGGAAUAGGAGAACAUAUUUGCAAAGUAAGUAUCCAACAAAGGUCUCAUAUCCAGCAUCUAUAAGGAACUUAAACAAAUUUAUAAGAAAUAACUAACAAUUCCAACAAAAAGUGGGCAAAGUACACGAACAGACACUUUGCUAAGAAGACAUACAUGUGGCUAACAAGCAAAUGAAAAAAAGCUCAGUAUCAUGAUCAUUAGAGAAAUGCAAAUCAAAACCACAAUGAGAUAUAUCAUCUCACACCAGUCAGAAUGGCUAUUAUUAAAAAGUCAAAAAAAUAACCGAUGGCUGGUAAAGUUGCAGAGUAAAGGAAAUACUUAUACACUGUUAGUAGGAGUUUAAAUUAGUUCAACCAUUAUGGAAAGCAGUGUGGUGAUUCCUCAAAGAGCUAAAAACAGGACUACCAUUUGACCCAGCAAACCCAUUACUGGGUAUAUGCCCGGAGGAAUAGAAAUCAUUCUACCAUAAAAACAUGUGCAACAAAUGUUCAUUGCAGCACUAUUCAAAAUAGUAAAGACAUAGAAUCAACCUAAAUGCCCAUCAAUGACAGAUUGGAUAAAAAAUGUGGUACAUAGGUCCCAUGGAAUACCAUGCAGCCAUAAAAAAGAACAAGAUCAUGUAUUUUGCAGGAACAUGAUGGAGCUGGAGGCCAUUAUCCUUAGCAAACUAAUGCAGAAACGGAAAAGGAAAUAGUGCAUGUUCUUACUCAUAAGAGGGAGCUAAAUGAGGAGACAUCAUGGAUACAAAGAGGGGAACAACAGACACUGGGACCUCUUUGAGGGUGGAGGGUAGGAGGAGGGAGAGGAGCAGAAAAACAAAUUAAUCUUGUUGUACAGAUUAUUUUGUCACCCAGGUACUAAACCUGGUACUAUCGGGUACCCUACCACUGCUUUAUCAACUAAGUUUCUGUAAUAGUUUAAAUCCUUCAUUGUCAUUACAACAAUGUUCAUGGCAUCUUCACCAGGAGUAAAUCUCAUCUCAAGAAACCACUUUUUUUGCUUACCCAUAAGAAGCAACUCCUCAUCUAUUCAAAUUUGAUCAUGAGAUUGCAGCAAUCUGGUCACAUCUUCAGGUUCACUCUAAUUCAAGUUCUCUUGCUGUUUCUACCACAUCCACAGUUACUUCCUUCACUGAAAUUUUGAACCUGUCAAAAUUUGGUACCUUACUGUUGUGUACCAGGUUUAGUACCUGGGUGACAAAAUAAUCUGUACAACAGACCCCCGUGAUACCAGUUAACCUAGGUAACAAACCUGCACAUGUACUCCUGAACCUGAAAU